rnacentral:rRNA from 1 species
UGAGGAAUAUUGGUCAAUGGGUGCGAGCCUGAACCAGCCAAGUAGCGUGAAGGAUGAAGGUCCUACGGAUUGUAAACUUCUUUUAUAAGGGAAUAAAGUCACCCACGUGUGGGUGUUUGUAUGUACCUUAUGAAUAAGCAUCGGCUAACUCCGUGCCAGCAGCCGCGGUAAUACGGAGGAUGCGAGCGUUAUCCGGAUUUAUUGGGUUUAAAGGGAGCGUAGACGGGCCGUUAAGUCAGCUGUGAAAGUUUGAGGCUCAACCUUAAAAUUGCAGUUGAUACUGGCGUCCUUGAGUACGGUUGAGGCAGGCGGAAUUCGUGGUGUAGCGGUGAAAUGCUUAGAUAUCACGAAGAACCCCGAUUGCGAAGGCAGCCUGCUAAACCGCCACUGACGUUGAGGCUCGAAAGUGUGGGUAUCAAACAGGAUUAGAUACCCUGGUAGUCCACACGGUAAACGAUGGAUACUCGCUGUUGGCGAUAGACUGUCAGCGGCUUAGCGAAAGCGUUAAGUAUCCCACCUGGGGAGUACGCCGGCAACGGUGAAACUCAAAGGAAUUGACGGGGGCCCGCACAAGCGGAGGAACAUGUGGUUUAAUUCGAUGAUACGCGAGGAACCUUACCCGGGCUUGAAUUGCAGACGAAUUGCUUGGAAACAGGCAAGCCGCAAGGCGUCUGUGAAGGUGCUGCAUGGUUGUCGUCAGCUCGUGCCGUGAGGUGUCGGCUUAAGUGCCAUAACGAGCGCAACCCUCGUGUCCAGUUACUAGCAGGUUAUGCUGAGGACUCUGGACAGACUGCCAUCGUAAGAUGUGAGGAAGGUGGGGAUGACGUCAAAUCAGCACGGCCCUUACGUCCGGGGCUACACACGUGUUACAAUGGGGGGUACAGAGGGCCGCUGUCCGGUGACGGUCGGCCAAUCCCUAAAACCCCUCUCAGUUCGGACUGGAGUCUGCAACCCGACUCCACGAAGCUGGAUUCGCUAGUAAUCGCGCAUCAGCCAUGGCGCGGUGAAUACGUUCCC